rnacentral:tRNA from 1 species
GCGGGUGUAGCACAGCGGUUAGUGCGCUUGCCUUCCAAGCAAGAUACGGCGGUUCGAUUCCGCUCACCCGCU